GUUUCUAGAGAGAGAGAGAAGGAGAAAAAUGAGAGGAAGGGGUGUACUUGGUUGUGAACAAGAGAGAUGCGGGUGUGGGGUUUUUAUAAGUUGCCACAAUUGCAUUUAGGCCCUCCAAUAAUUUUUAUUUGCAGCAUACUGCAUCCUGCUGUUCGCAGUGCAAGGUAUCGGUACGCGGGAUGGCAUCACCGGUACGCCGCUUCGCACAGGCCCAAACCCGAGAGCUGCUGUUCUCGGGUUGCUGCGGGGUACCGGUACUAACCAGGGGUGUCACCAGUAC
rnacentral:lncRNA from 1 species